GGACUACCGGGGUAUCUAAUCCCGUUCGCUACCCUAGCUUUCGCGCCUCAGCGUCAGAAGAGGUCCAGACUGUCGCUUUCGCCACUGGCGUUCCCGCCGAUAUCAACACAUUUCACCGCUCCACCGGCAGUUCCACAGUCCUCUAUCUCCCUCGAGCGACGCAGUACUGGGAGCGAUUCCACGGUUGAGCCGAUGGGAUUUCACUUCCAACUUACGCCGCCGCCUACGCGCUCUUUAAGCCCAAUGAUUCCGAAUAACGUUUGCACGGUUCGUCUUACCGCGGCUGCUGGCAC
rnacentral:rRNA from 1 species